UACGGAGGGUGCGAGCGUUGUCCGGAAUCAUUGGGCGUAAAGGGCGCGUAGGUGGCUUCUUAAGCGUGCGGUGAAAGCUCGGGGCUCAACCCCGAGUCGGCCGUGCGAACUGGUGGGCUGGAGCACUGUAGAGGCAGGCGGAAUUCCGGGUGUAGCGGUGGAAUGCGUAGAGAUCCGGAAGAACACCGGUGGCGAAGGCGGCCUGCUGGGCAGUUGCUGACACUGAGGCGCGACAGCGUGGGGAGCAAACAGG
rnacentral:rRNA from 1 species